UACGGAGGGUGCAAGCGUUAUCCGAUUCACUGGGUUUAAAGGGUGCGUAGGUGGUUUUGUAAGUCAGUGGUGAAAGCCCGGAGCUCAACUCCGGAACUGCCAUUGAUACUGCUUAACUUGAAUCAACUUGAGGUGGAUGGAAUAUUACAUGUAGCGGUGAAAUGCUUAGAUAUGUAAUAGAACACCGAUUGCGAAGGCAGUUCACUAAGGUUGUAUUGACACUGAGGCACGAAAGCG
rnacentral:rRNA from 1 species